GACGAACGCUGGCGGCGUGCCUAAUACAUGCAAGUGGAACGCAUUGGUAACACCGGACUUGCUCCAGUGUUACUAAUGAGUCGCGAACGGGUGAGUAACGCGUAGGUAACCUGCCUGAUAGCGGGGGAUAACUAUUGGAAACGAUAGCUAAUACCGCAUAAGAGGAGUUAACUCAUGUUAACUGUUUAAAAGAAGCAAUGGCUUCACUAUCAGAUGGACCUGCGUUGUAUUAGCUAGUAGGUAGGGUAACGGCCUACCUAGGCACCGAUACAUAGCCGACCUGAGAGGGUGAACGGCCACACUGGGACUGAGACACGGCCCAGACUCCUACGGGAGGCAGCAGUAGGGAAUCUUCGGCAAUGGACGCAAGUCUGACCGAGCAACGCCGCGUGAGUGAAGACGGUUUUCGGAUCGUAAAGCUCUGUUGUAGGGGAAGAACGUGUGUAAGAGUGGA
rnacentral:rRNA from 1 species